rnacentral:rRNA from 1 species
UACGUAGGGGGCAAGCGUUGUCCGGAUUUAUUGGGCGUAAAGGGCUCGUAGGCGGUCUGUUACGUCGGGAGUGAAAACUCGGGGCUCAACCCCGAGCCUGCUUCCGAUACGGGCAGACUAGAGGUAUGCAGGGGAGAAUGGAAUUCCUGGUGUAGCGGUGAAAUGCGCAGAUAUCAGGAGGAACACCGGUGGCGAAGGCGGUUCUCUGGGCAUUACCUGACGCUGAGGAGCGAAAGUGUGGGGAGCGAACAGG